GCCCCCGUGAGGAUGCCCUAUAGAUUCCCUACUAGGAAGCUGGGAGCAGGUAUCAGGCACAGAUUCUUCUAGCCCACAACACCUUGUUCAGCCACACCCCCAAGGGUACUCAGCAGUGAUAGACAUUAAGCUAUAAGUGAAAACUUGACUUAGUUAAAGCUAAGAGGGCCGGUAAAACUCGUGCCAGCCACCGCGGUUAUACGAGUUGGCUCAAGUUGAUAGACGCGGCGUAAAGCGUGGUUAGGGGAAUAACAACUAAAGUCGAAUUGCCUCCUAGCAGUUAUACGCUCACGAGGGCUUAGAAGCACAACCACGAAAGUAGCUUUAACAAACCUGACUCCACGAAAGCUAAGGCACAAACUGGGAUUAGAUACCCCACUAUGCUUAGCCCUAAACAUUGACAACUUUACACACCCGUUGUCCGCCUGGGAACUACGAGCAGCAGCUUGAAAUCCAAAGGACUUGGCGGUGCUUUAGAUCCACCUAGAGGAGCCUGUCCUAGAACCGAUAAUCCCCGUUUAACCUCACCCCCUCUUGCUCUGAUCCGCCUAUAUACCGCCGUCGCAAGCUUACCCUUUGAGGGACUAAUAGUAAGCACAAUCGGCAUUGCCCAAUACGUCAGGUCGAGGUGUAGCGAAUGAGGGGGGAAGAGAUGGGCUACAUUCCCUGACUCAGGGAAUUACGAAUGGUCAUGCUGAAAUGCAUACACUGAAGGAGGAUUUAGUAGUAAGCUGAAAGCAGAGUGUUCAGC
rnacentral:rRNA from 1 species